AGAGUUUGAUCCUGGCUCAGAUUGAACGCUGGCGGCAGGCCUAACACAUGCAAGUCGAGCGGCAGCAGCUCCUUCGGGAGGCUGGCGAGCGGCGGACGGGUGAGUAACGCAUGGGAACUUACCCAGUAGUGGGGGAUAGCCCGGGGAAACCCGGAUUAAUACCGCAUACGCCCUGAGGGGGAAAGCGGGCUCCGGCUCGCGCUAUUGGAUGGGCCCAUGUCGGAUUAGUUAGUUGGUGGGGUAAUGGCCUACCAAGGCGACGAUCCGUAGCUGGUCUGAGAGGAUGAUCAGCCACACCGGGACUGAGACACGGCCCGGACUCCUACGGGAGGCAGCAGUGGGGAAUAUUGGACAAUGGGGGCAACCCUGAUCCAGCCAUGCCGCGUGUGUGAAGAAGGCCUUCGGGUUGUAAAGCACUUUCAGCAGGGAGGAAAAGCUAGUCGUUAAUACCGGCUAGUGUUGACGUUACCUGCAGAAGAAGCACCGGCUAACUCCGUGCCAGCAGCCGCGGUAAUACGGAGGGUGCAAGCGUUAAUCGGAAUUACUGGGCGUAAAGGGCGCGUAGGCGGUUUGGUAAGCGAGUUGUGAAAGCCCCGGGCUCAACCUGGGAAUGGCAAUUCGAACUGCCAGGCUAGAGUGCAGCAGAGGGCAGUGGAAUUCCCGGUGUAGCGGUGAAAUGCGUAAAUAUCGGGAGGAACACCAGUGGCGAAGGCGACUGCCUGGGCUGACACUGACGCUGAGGUGCGAAAGCGUGGGUAGCAAACAGGAUUANAUACCCUGGUAGUCCACGCUGUAAACGUUGANAACUAGUCNUUGGGGCUAUUGAAN
rnacentral:rRNA from 1 species